GGUUAGCAAAUUUAGUCUUAAUCUUACUGUUUUUAUUCGUGUGAUCAUCUGCUCAAGCUCUUCAACAAAAGCUUUAAGCUCUAUGCAGUCUCAGGACGUCUUUCAGAGCACUGACCAACACAACCUGAAAGAUCUCCGUCGGUUCCGAAUUGCAUUGCAACCCUAUGCGGUAAAUACUGUUCUGAACAGCCACCUCCGCGCAGCAUUGAAAUCCUGAAGCGUCGAGCAAAUGCCAUCAAAUCGUCAUUCAAACUAGAACCAACAGUCGCCCACAUUUCUUUUUCUCCAUAAAACUUGAGCAAAUCCCAGUUUUCCAGAGCUAAAACUCUCUUUAUCCGAGUCUAGAACCAACGAAACAUUCUCAACAUCCAGUUUCAAUUUGUCCCACCAAGCAACCCUAAGGUACCCACUCUUCAUCAGAUUAGGCUCCGGCCGCUGCAGUUUUUUUAACCUCUUCCAAACCCGAACCUCAACUAAUUGCAUUGACACCAAAUCUUUACUGUUAAACCAUCAUAUUUUCCCAAUGGAAUCCCCAACAAGGUUGACUCUGCGAUAAACCCUUUCAACCAAGUCAUAUCUCUAUAAAUGCUGGCGAGAACAGCAGGUGCAAGUGCAAUUCUAUUACCUCUCGCGACAUGAAUCACAAUAAAGAAAGCAAGCUAAAUGCUUCUUUCUAAAUCUCGCUGCCACUAUCCAUGAAUUUCCUCAUUCACGACAGAUUACUGGCCUUCUUAGCAGUUGUCCUUGUCAUUUCUACAGUUGCAAUCUGGAAAACUGGAACUUCUCAUUACAAUACGAAAAUUCUCCAUCCAGAACUUUGAUGCUUGUUCUUCUCGCUAAUCUGAUUGUUGUACUACAUCUUCAUCUUCUUUUUUAAUCUUAACCCUAGACUUCACCAUGCUUUCCUUGAAAAAAGCUGGUUGUCGAAGAGCAACGCCAGAAAAGUAGAUAUGGUUUAUAAUUUUGAAAAGUUGUGUUUACAAUGACAAGGGUUCAUCACAAUAUCAGUUAAUUUAUACAGAGGAUUCAGAUCUGUAA